CAGGGAUGAUUCCACUAUAUAGUUUAGGGCCGCUUAGCGGCCCUUAAGUCAGCCAGCGGCCCCAAAAAAUGUGUGUGAAUAUAAAUUCCCAAUUCAGGAAAAAUAAAAUAAAAAUCGGUAAUUCCGGAAAAGUUUCUGUCACCGAUUACGGCAACUAUAAUUUUUCAUAGUUUGUUGACAAAACGUAGUAAAAUCCGGAUAAGAAUGUUGACUACGAUCGCAUUUUAUUAACAACAUUU
rnacentral:lncRNA from 1 species